rnacentral:misc_RNA from 1 species
AAUCCAAGAAUUUCACCUCCAACAAUGAAAUACGAAUGCCCCCAACUGUCCCUCUUAAUCAUUACUCCCUUCCCGAAGACCAACACAAUAGGAAGUGAGUCCUAUCGCGUUAUUCCAUGCUAAUGUAUUCAAUGCGUAGGCCUGCUUUGAACACUCUAAUUUUUUCAAAGUAACAUCGCCGACUCCGCGUCCCGCGCCAGUUAAGGCCAGAAGCGCGUCCCCGACAGAAAAGUAGGAAGUCAUAGUGCGCACCGAAACGGCGGACCAUUCAUUCCCACCUGAAAUCCAACUACGAGCUUUUUAACUGCAACAACUUAAAUAUACGCUAUUGGAGCUGGAAUUACCGCU